rnacentral:rRNA from 1 species
GACGAACCUUGCAAACGUUAUUCGGAAUCACUGGGCUUAAAGGGUGCGUAGGCGGCGCGGUAAGUCGGGUGUGAAAUCUUGGAGCUUAACUCCGAAACUGCAUUCGAUACUGCCGUGCUUGAGGACUGGAGAGGAGACUGGAAUUUACGGUGUAGCGGUGAAAUGCGUAGAUAUCGUAAGGAAGACCAGUGGCGAAGGCGGGUCUCUGGACAGUGCCUGACGCUGAGGCACGAAGGCCAGGGGAGCAAACGGG